UUUGUCCGGCGUGCUGCUGGUGAUUCCUUAGCCAGCAAAUAAAGUAGAGGAGCUGAAAUAACAGCUGGAGCAUACCAGUCAUAGAUCCACUGGACUCAGCUGAGCAAAGCUGAAUUUUCCUCAAGGUCUUUGACCAAGUGUAUCAACACCAGGAUUUCCUUGUCCCUUUUUGGCAAAGACAAGCAGCAGAGUUCCCUUUUCAUUCCAACUAUGGAGAAAGAUUAACCACUCCAUCAAGAGGGAUGCUGUCUUGAAAAGGUGAUGAUCCAUCACAGAAACAUGUGUCAGUCCUCAUGCUAUGUCAGGCUUUCCAACAGACAAGCGCAAUAAGCACCCUGCUGCUUCUGUGUUACCAGUUCUUGCAAGACACAGAAUAUUAAUAAGGUCACUCUGCCUUAGUCAUGCCCUACGAGGAAGGAACUAUGGCUGCUUUAUGAGAAGCCAAGCGACUUAAAAGUGWUUCAUCCAAGUAGCUGGUGGCAAUCCCAGCAAGAAGAUGAGGACAACCUGCUGGAUCCACGAACUCCAGGGAGUUGCCUGCAAUUGGAUUUGGUGUAUGGG
rnacentral:lncRNA from 1 species